GCUUCUUGACAACCGAAUCACAGCUAGUAUGAUGUAUCCUUGAACUAAACAGUCCAGUGGUCAUCCCCUGACUGCUGCUGCCCCAGCUCAUCCAAUCAUUUGGUGGGCCUCAUGCAGUAAGUUGAAGGUUGUAAGAGCAAAGAUAGAAGGCCUUCCCAAAGAAUGAGGACUUCUGCCUGAGGAUAGCAAAUACCAAUUCUGCAUGGGUUUCCUGGCUUCAGACUCAAGAAUGCAAUAUCAACUCUUACUGGAAUUUCUAUCCUACCAGCUUGCCCUGCAAAUUUCAGACUUGCCAGCCCUUGCAAUUGUCUUCUUUGAUUCCUGGGCCAGGUGCAUAUUUUGCUCCGUGAUGAAGGACAUCAACAAGUUUCUGUUGCAGAAUACCCCCAACAUUCAAACUGGAGUUUGGAGGUGGUAAGAAAUCUAGAAGUUCCAGUUCAACUUUGAAGUUACCAGUUGUUUCUGUUUCUCAUAGUUCAUGUGCAUAUUCUAUUCUGAAUUGUCUACCACAUCGACUUUAAGUGACAACAAAAAGACAGUGGCAUUGCAUACAUUGUGUAGCCAACUUCCACAAGUGCAUAUUUCAAAUAUCUAUAAUGUAUCUGUUAUAUGUAUUAGUAUGUGUGUAUAUGUGUGUGAAUGUAUAUAUACAUAUGCAUGCAUACAUACAUAGAGAUGAGGAUAGAGCUAUGUGUGAGUAUAUAUAC
ensembl:lncRNA novel transcript